CGGGGUGGAGUAACGCGUGGGUAACCUGCCUCAUACAGGGGAUAACAGUUAGAAAUGGCUGCUAAUACCGCAUAAGACCACAGUACUGCAUGGUACAGUGGUAAAAACUCCGGUGGUAUGAGAUGGACCCGCGUCUGAUUAGGUAGUUGGUGAGGUAACGGCCCACCAAGCCGACGAUCAGUAGCCGACCUGAGAGGGUGACCGGCCACAUUGGGACUGAGACACGGCCCAG
rnacentral:rRNA from 1 species